CACACACACUGCACUCCUUAUACAUUGCACCACUCACACACACCACUGCUCCUAUGCCCUACUACAGCCCCAUUUCCCAGCAGACCUCAGAUAAGUUGUCAAACUGUUAUUAAACGGUUUGAUUACUUACUCUGGGAGGGGGUCCCGGCACUAUUGACACCAUAACCGCUACACUGAGCUGUAGUGGUUAUUGUGUCUGGAUUAUUUCUUUAAAUAAUCUACAAGUGCCCCUCCCAAGAUCAGGCUCUGGAUCCGCCACUGGUUCGGCCGCAAUUAAGCUGCCCAUGGCCGAAGGGAGACCUGUCAGUCUCCCUUCUAAAUUUACAUCAAUUUUGGCCGCAUGACCUGCAUGGAAGCCCGCCUCCUGAAUGAAAGCUCCAUCUCCCGAACGCAAGCUCCGCCCCCCACGCACGUUACUGACCUCACUGGAAGAAAGAUGCAAAAUGGCAACUUCACCUACCAGUGCCAGAUAAGCUUCAGCCAUGACAAUGAUUGUGUUUGUGUGCCUGCUAGUGAGUGAGCUUCUGUGUGUGUGUGUGUGUGUGUGUGCCUGCUAGUGAGUGAGCUUGUGCAUGUGUGCCUGCUAGUGAGUGAGCUUGUGUGUGUGUGUGCCUGCUAGUGAGUGAGCUUGUGUGUGUGUGUGCCUGCUAGUGAGUGAGCUUGUGCAUGUGUGCCUGCUAGUGAGUAAACAUGUGUGUGUGCUUGCUAGUGAGUGAGCUUUGUGUGUGUGUG